AACGAACGCUGGCGGCGUGCCUAACACAUGCAAGUCGAACGUGAUUGGAAGCUUGCUUCCAUGAAAGUGGCGCACGGGUGAGUAACGCGUAGAUAAUCUGCCUGAUGAUCCGGGAUAACACCUCGAAAGGGGUGCUAAUACCGGAUAAGCCCACGGGGUCUUUGGACUCUGCGGGAAAAGGGGGGGACCUUCGGGCCUUCUGUCAUCAGAUGAGUCUGCGUACCAUUAGCUAGUUGGUAGGGUAAAGGCCUACCAAGGCGACGAUGGUUAGCUGGUCGGAAGGGAGGAACAGCCACACUGGAACGGGGACCCGGUCCAGACUCCGACGGGAGGAAGCGGUGGGGAAUUUUGGGCAAUGGGGGAAACCCUGACGCAGCAACGCGGCGUGAGUGAUGAAGGCUAUGGGGUCGUAAAGCUCUGACAGAGGGAAAGAAGUGUACUGUGGUUAAUACCCGCGGUACUUGACGGUACCCUCAAAGGAAGCACCGGCUAACUCCGUGCCAGCAGCCGCGGUAAAAC
rnacentral:rRNA from 1 species